AGCUUUGUGCAGUGGCAGUAUCUAGCCAAUGAGGUUUAUCUGAGGCGCGACUAUUGCUAAUAGAAAUUAGGCUAAAUAAAUGGGCAUUUAUUUGCUGGGGGGGAAAAAACCCC
rnacentral:snRNA from 1 species